rnacentral:misc_RNA from 1 species
AAGUCGUAACAAGGUUUCCGUAGGUGAACCUGCGGAAGGAUCAUUAACACGUGCAAACGUAUUAACCAAUCUACCUUCUACAACCCGUGAAUUUAACCCCCUACCUCAACACUAUCAAUCGUUCAAUGCAAUAGUAGUAGGAUAGAGUAGUUUCGGCUGCUCUAUGCAAUUGUAUUGAUACUAAGGCUUCGAGCCUAAGAUUGGUUUUGUUAGGCUUUUAACCCUUUUUUUCCCCUACUACAAAAAAACUAAACCAACCACAUUCACCUCAUCAACCAAUUUUGACUGAUGUACGUUGAGAGUAGAGAAAUCUACUGGAUCAACACCAUUUUAUCAUAACUAAGCACAACUCUUAGCAACGGAUCUCUUGGUUCUG